rnacentral:rRNA from 1 species
GACGAACGCUGGCGGCGUGCUUAACACAUGCAAGUCGAGCGGUAAGGCCCUUUCGGGGGUACACGAGCGGCGAACGGGUGAGUAACACGUGGGUGACCUGCCCUUAGCACUGGGAUAAGCCUGGGAAACUGGGUCUAAUACCGGAUAUGACUCCAUAACGCAUGUUGUGGGGUGGAAAGCCUUGUGCGGCUAGGGAUGGGCCCGCGGCCUAUCAGCUUGUUGGUGGGGUGAUGGCCACCAAGGCGACGACGGGUAGCCGGCCUGAGAGGGCGACCGGCCACACUGGGACUGAGACACGGCCCAGACUCCUACGGGAGGCAGCAGUGGGGAAUCUUGCGCAAUGGGCGAAAGCCUGACGCAGCGACGCCGCGUGGGGAUGAC